rnacentral:rRNA from 1 species
GACGAACGCUGGCGGCGUGCUUAACACAUGCAAGUCGAACGGAAAGGCCCUGCUUUUGUGGGGUGCUCAAGUGGCGAACGGGUGAGUAACACGUGAGUAACCUGCCCUUUACUUUGGGAUAACUUCAGGAAACUGGGGCUAAUACCGGAUAGGAGCUCCUGCUGCAUGGUGGGGGUUGGAAAGUUUCGGCGGUUGGGGAUGGACUCGCGGCUUAUCAGCUUGUUGGUGGGGUAGUGGCUUACCAAGGCUUUGACGGGUAGCCGGCCUGAGAGGGUGACCGGCCACAUUGGGACUGAGAUACGGCCCAGACUCCUACGGGAGGCAGCAGUGGGGAAUAUUGCACAAUGGGCGGAAGCCGUAUGCAGCAACGCCGCGUGCGGGAUGACGGCCUUCGGGUUGUAAACCGCUUUCGCCUGUGACGAAGCGUGAGUGACGGUAAUGGGUAAAGAAGCACCGGCUAACUACGUG